rnacentral:misc_RNA from 1 species
AGUCGUAACAAGGUAUCCGUAGGUGAACCUGCGGAUGGAUCAUUAUAGGGUGUUGGGUAAUUGUGAGUGGUUUUAUUAUUAGUAGUUUGAGCGGUGUUGGUUGGGAUGCUUGCAGGAUUGCGAAGCAGGAUUGCCAAGCAGGAUUGCCAAGCAGGAUUGCCAAGCAGGAUUGCCAACAUUGCCAGCCAACAUUGCCUCACGUUAAACUCUAUAAAUCUAACAAUUACAUACAAAAAAAAACAACUUUUAGCAACGGAUCUCUUGGCUCUC